rnacentral:rRNA from 1 species
GGAUUAGAUACCCUGGUAGUCCACGCCGUAAACGAUGCGCACUGGGUCGGUGGUCCUUCGACGGAUUGCCGGCCGUAGAGAAAUUGUUAAGUGCGCCGCCUGGGGAGUACGGUCGCAAGGCUAAAACUCAAAGGAAUUGACGGGGGCUCACACAAGCGGUGGAGCAUGUUGCUUAAUUCGAAGCAACGCGAAGAACCUUACCUGGGCUUGACAUGCACGGAUUAGCUCUUGGAAACAUGAGUGACGCCCUCGGGUGGAACGUGCACAGGUGCUGCAUGGCUGUCGUCAGCUCGUGCCG